rnacentral:lncRNA from 1 species
AAGGACCAGCAUAAUGGGAACUUCACUUGGGAACACAUCCCUUGGGAACACAUCCCUAUGACCAUUAAAAUUCACGAGGCCAACCUGGUGGAAUUGGAGGCUCAGAGAAAGGAUGAAGAGAGACACCAUGGAAGAAGUAACUGAAGAAAUGAAGAAAUUCACAACACAAGAAAUGUGUUGUGCUGGAUAGACCCACUUCUGGAUCCUCUGGCUGGUUCUCUACAAAGGGAUCAAUAAAAAUGGUGAGUAUAGUCUGAGUAAUGGUUAAAAAAGAUAUGGUACAUAUAUACAGUGGAAUAUAACUCAGCCAUAAAAGAACAAGAUAAA